CCUACGGGCGGCAGCAGUGGGGGAUAUUGCACAAUGGGGGGAACCCUGAUGCAGCGACGCCGCGUGGGUGAAGAAGCGCCUCGGCGCGUAAAGCCCUGUCAGCAGGGAAGAAAAUGACGGUACCUGAAGAAGAAGCCCCGGCUAACUACGUGCCAGCAGCCGCGGUAAUACGUCGGGGGCAAGCGUUAUCCGGAUGUACUGGGUGUAAAGGGGGCGCAGCCGGCGAUGCAAGCCAGGAGUGAAAGCCCGGGGCUCAACCCCGGGACUGCUCUUGGAACUGCGUGGCUGGAGUGCAGGAGGGGAAGGCGGAAUUCCUGGUGUAGCGGUGAAAUGCGUAGAUAUAAGGAGGAACACCGGUGGCGAAGGCGGCCUGCUGGACUGCAACUGACGUUGAGGCCCGAAAGCGUGGGGAGCAAACAGGAUUAGAUACCCUUGUAGUC
rnacentral:rRNA from 1 species